UUGUGAUUGCUAUGUAGCUAGGGUUUUAUAGACAGACACAAUUGACCGAAGAUUGUUAACAAGUAUGUAUCUAAUGUUCAUUGUUUGCAUUUUUUAUUUUGUUAAUCUUUUGUAUUGAGUUGCGGUUCUAACAAUGCAAUAUGUACGAAAAGAAGUAUAUAUCCAAAAGAUGUAUAUAUAAAGCGAUCGUAUAACCCAAAUUAAAAAGGUCUAAUUUCAAAUUAUGAAAAAACAAAUCUAAUUUUAAAUUUCUCUCUAGGGCUACACAUAUGUUAGUUGACCCUGGUUCAAAGAUCUCAAGCAAUCCAGGCAGUGGAAAAAUAUUUAAGAGCAGGACAUAGAUUUUCAUGGCAUGAAGGAAGCAUGGAAUCCGUGGAGAUAAUGAAGGACAAAGAAAUGAACUUCACUCUUAAGUUUGUCAAUUUCACUACCAUUUUUCUUCAAUUAAAAAUGUUUCCC
rnacentral:lncRNA from 1 species